GCCUUGGUGGUGUAGUGGGUACCGCGCGCUCCUGGUACAGGUGAACGCGGGUUAAAGUCUCGUCUGGGGUU